rnacentral:lncRNA from 1 species
AGUGGGAAGAUGGUCGGCAGGAUUAGACUCAGCCGUGGGUCUGGGUACUCUCCAGGCGAUGCUACUGAGGAAAUAACUUCAUCUUCCAGACACUUUGUCCCAGAUUUAGGUCGUCAACAGCACUUAGAUGGACACCGAGCGCCAAGCACCUCAGCUGCACUUACAGCCUGGAGCCCUCAAGGGGCCUGGCGAUGGACCACCCAGGCUGUCUGCCAAGGGUAAGCUGGGACCACGCCACUUUCACCUUGUCCCUAGUUAUGCCUAAACUUCUGAAGACCCAGGGCCUAAUAAGUGGAGGGCCAUGAUGCAGCAAAUGGGGACCCUAGGUAAAGGGCUGUCUCCUGCUCCGAACUGCUGAGCUUCUGCUGAAACCAGGCGGCCAGGCUGGCGGCUAGUUCAUUUCAGGAACCCAAGUCUAGGUAGAGGAUUAUGGAAAUGAGAGGUGUGUGGGAUGCUGACAAGGUUAGCAGUCAUCUGCUCUUUGAGAAACCAGGGCAGGGGCUCCGGAAGGGAAAUAAGUGAUGCAGGUAUGAUUUCUUUUCACUCAGAGAAGGCUUGGGCUUUCGGAUGCUGGGUUUGUCAUCAGGUAGUAACGUUGGAAACAUCUGUUACUUUUAGACACAAUGAGAUGUAGAGUAGAGAAGCUAAAACCAGGAACAUAUUUAAAUUUUGCCUAAGCAGAUAAUACAGAAUUGAAGUAGAAGACAAUUGUUUUGAUAAUUCAAAGGAAAGAAAGAAAUAGUCUCACUUAGGUGAGUUGGUAUUGGUCUGAGACAUGCAGAUGGUUUCCCACAUUUUCUAUUUCACUUGUCCAAGCUCAGCUGUUCUUAAAUGAAGUAAGUGCUUUCUUUUAACUUUUACAACAUGAGCAAAUUCUCACCUCUUUGUUAUGUCUUUCUCAGAGUUAUAGUAAGACUUGAUUUGAGUUUCCAGUUUGAAUUCCCAGAAUCAGCUGCACUGAAUCAUGUUGAGCUUUGAACAAUAGCCUCUAAUUGGUUGAUACCUCUGCAGUGGCAUUUAGUUACAGGGUUGUGUGGUUAAGAUGAACACAUGAAUGUGGGCAUAAUUAGCAAUUAAGGUUGUUUAUAAGGCUAGAAAACAACCAUUCCACAUUUCACAAAUACUCAGAGGGCAAAUGACUUUAACUAGUGCUUGGCUCCUGGACUUUUCAACCCUUUAAUCUUCCUAGCAGGACUGCUGGAGUCUAGAAGUUUACCCCACCCCGACCUCCUUAAAUGGGAGACCAGGGGGAAGUCUGGGUGAGUAGUGUGUUGCCAUCUCAGCAUUGACUUGGUUUCUCCACAAGUUCUACUGAAUUGGGUUCCUGAGAGGAGUGGCUGCCUUUCUAUCUUGUGUCCAGGGCCAUUAUAUAUCCUCCUGGCACACAAGUCCACUAGUUACUAAGUUCUUAUUUAUCCAGGUCAAAAAAGAGCAUUUGUUCCUUUGCCCAUGUUCUGCUUGGAGCUUAGCCCUAAACGUGGCAUUAGAGUUUCUCACGUUAGUUCUUACAGCUGCCUGCUGCACUUAUCCCCUUCCUGGCCUUGACUUUGCUAGGGAUUCUGCUUUUGAAACUUUGAUGCCCUAUACAAAUUGCCUUUUCUUAUUCACUUUUUUUCCAAUCAUAAUUUUCCCAAGGCCCAGCAUAGUACUGACCUCCCCAAUCAGAACUACUUUAAACCUCACGAGUUCUCGAUCCAGAUGGAGUGCUUUGAUGGCUCCCAGGUCCAGGUCCCUGGUUCCGCCUCUUCUGUGCUUCAUCCAGGGAUGCCCUGGCUUUUCACAGUUGCUACGCCAAUUCUAUUUUUAAAGGUGAGGUAAAUAUGAACUAGACAUUAAAGCAUUUAAAAAGUCAGGAAUGUUUAAAAUAACUGCUCAUUUUAUAAGCAUAACUUGAUUAGGAAAUGUUCCUAUGUUUUGUUUUCAACAAAAGGUCUUUAGUGAUUUCAGUAAUGUUAGCAAGUUGAAUGUCUUCCAUCAUAAGGAAAUGAGCCAUAAUUCAAUAAUGCAAUAUUAGUGUUUUAUUUCAAGUGUUCAAAUUUCAUUAUUUCUAAAUUUCAGUGGUUCAAAAUGACUUCCAAUCUUAUUAGGACAACCAGAUUGUUUUCUUCAUUUCCAAGCCUGUAAGUGAAGUGGAUCCACAAUUCUGCUUGGAAAGAUAACCCAUUCAAGUUGGAUGAAAAUGACAUCACAUCCACACCUGCAAAACCUAAAAUGUCUAAUAAAGCACAUUCCCAAGCCCGAACUUCAAUUUUAGGGCACAGCUGUAGAUGCAGGAUUGAUGCCAUCUGGUGUGAUUCUGCAGCAUAAGAUAAAUCUACCCGAGUGUGCCGUGCACUGGCUUUUCUGGGAAUGACAAGAUGCCAGGAUUUGUUUUUGGUUCCCUUGCAGGGGUGGAAAGUUGGAACUAGGUAAGUAAAAAAUACGCGAUUCCCUAUUUUCGACUUGACAUUCCACGUUCCCAAUUUUGUCUGUCAUUUCAAAAUAAGUGCACUAGAAUCGAAUUUUAAAUGUUUAAAAGUUUUAAGCAUUGUAAUGGUCAAAACAUUUUUGGAUAGUGGGAAACACUGACUUUUUGUGAGUCAUACUGAUCUCUGACUUUGAGAACACUGAAGACACUAAUGCAGUACAUAGGAAGUAUCUGCAGAGUUCUGUGCUUUGUUUCAGUGUUCAUAGCUAGUCUGUGGUACUUGUGCUUAUUUAAGCUAAAUUCAUAGUCAAAACUCUAGGGUCAUUAGCUGUAACUGCUGAUGUCUGUGUCACAUUCAAGAGAAAGUUAAGAAUUGAGUUGUAGAUCUUUGAUGUCGAUGUUUUGUUGUUUGUUUGAGUCAGAGAAACAAAUUCCUCAAUUCUCCAUUGCUUAUUUUGUCCAUACAAAAUUUCAAAACAGUGUGGAUUCAAUACAGAUCUGAUGACCUGAGAAGUAAGCAUGUUACCAUGCAUAGGUAAGCCAAAGGGCAGACCCGUGUUUGAAGAGCGAUCACAACAGGAUAAGCACGCAGGCAAAGUUUCCUAUGNCUGAUGACCUGAGAAGUAAGCAUGUUACCAUGCAUAGGUAAGCCAAAGGGCAGAACCGUGUUUGAAGAGCGAUCACAACAGGAUAAGCACGCAGGCAAAGUUUCCUAUGGAUUAAGCUAAAAAUCCAUCUCCUCAGCUGCUUCAUUAAAUGAGUCUGACCAUUUCUGCCGUUCUCUCUUUACAGGGAGAUCCCAAGAGGAGGCUGACUUGAAGCUGGGAGUCCUUAUACGCGGCCUGUGUCUUACUAGUGUGCCUGUGAAGUCACUUGAACUUACCACGUCAGAAUCUUCAGACAGGACGUCUUUUCUUUCAGAUGUAAAUCCCCCUUGGAUGGCUGUCUCCGUAACAGAGUAGGAAGUUGGCAAACAGUGGCUCACUUAGGGCUUUGUUCUUUUUCCUGUAACUCACACUGACGUGCUUUGGAGGUGGGUGACUACUGGUGUUGGCUCCCAGCUCACAGAAAGUCAGGCUUCAGGUGACACCUUUGGCUUUUUCCUACAGCUCCCCACCAGAAGGGGAAGCCCAAGGGGGCAGCUGGCUGUGCAGUCUGAAUCCACUUCCUUUUGAAGAGCUUUCUCAGAUGCUCAACACUGGCCAGCCCCCUGUUACUGGCUGCUGCCAUCUGGAGAUGGCUCGAGCAAUGCCUUCAACCAAAAUCUGCCUUCUCUUGGUGAGGGGUGAUGGCAGCACAUCUCAAGUGGACAAGUAGCCAUCUGUGCCCUGGUGACAAAAUCCCAUUGUGAAGGAGCACAAUGCUCGAAAUGGAUUGAGACAGUGGCCCCUUCCCAGCUGGUAGAACUCCAGGCAGCCUGCUCAGCUGGAGUGAGGGCUGGGAAGAGGCCAGGUGUUCCCACGGGGCGUGGGCAGGCUUGCCCGUGUGGGCAUCUUCUGGGGGACAUGGUCUCUCUGUGGAGGCUGGAUAGAGCACGAAGCCUUGCUCUUCUGCAUUACCGUCACUGUGUCCUCCCUAACUCCUGUCAGUCGGACUUUAGUGGAAUCUAGGUUUGCAUAUUUGGUGCCCAAAAAAGACCAUCCCUUUUAUGCACCAGGGAGAUAGUCUAUGCAAAGAAAGUCUUCCUUGCUUCCUCUUAUGACUCUGCCACCAAGCUAGGAAUAUCCUGGGAGAAUCGCCUCUCGGAGCUGCUUCCACGAGCAGCCCACAUCCUGGCAGAGCAGCGGGAGAAGAAUCACUUCCCACACCCAAGGCUGUCCAGAGAACUUUCCGUGAUGAUAGCAACGUUCCCUAUCUGCAGUCUCCGAUAUGGUAACCACUAGUCACAUGUGGCUGGUGCACACUUGAAGUGACUGAGUAGGUAACUCUGAAAUUUUACUUAUGUCAAUAAGGAAAACUAACCACAUGGCGCCAGUGGCUCUGGUAUUGGACACACAGUCCACAUCCUGCACUUCCUUGUGUUGCAGAGAGGUGGGAGAGUGUGGCCAGGGCCGUGCUUGGAGUCCCUUGGCCUUCAUUGUCUCACCCUGCAGUGGACCUUGUUUCCCCGAGGAAGAGGAGAAGUGGUUCUUUGGAACUGAAUUCAAGAUGCUGACUUGACGUGUAUGUUGCCCACCCUCUUGGGAUUCAUGAAUGUUUUGGGAGUAGGUCUCAGGAUUGCUUUUGGUGACAAAGGACGAUAAAGAAACCACAGUGCAGGUUCCCCUCGCCCUCUUAGUACCCGUUGUGUGUUCCUAAGUCAGAGUGUUUCCACGGUUUAUUUUGAUCUAUUGUGCAGGUUUUUUAAUUUUUGUAACAUUGUGACUUUUAAAUGAUUAUUCUGUGUAUGUUUUCCAAAAUACCUAGUGAUUUAUAUUUUUUAAAAAAG